ensembl:misc_RNA Y_RNA Y RNA
GGCUGGUCUGAAGGCAGUGAGUUAUCUCACUUUGAUUGUUCACAGUCAGUUACAGAUAAAACACCUUGUUCUACUCUCUCCCUCCUUCUUGCUACUGCACUUGACUAAUCUUUA